rnacentral:rRNA from 1 species
AUUGAACGCUGGCGGCAGGCCUAACACAUGCAAGUCGAACGAGUGGCGGACGGGUGUGUAAUGUCUGGGAAACCGCCUGAUGGAGGGGGAUAACCAGUGGACACGGUAUCUAAUACCGCAUAAUAUGAGAUGUCCCUAGAUGGGAUUAGCUUGUUGGUGGGGUCACGGCUCCCCAAGGCGACGAUCCCUAGCUGGUCUGAGAGGAUGACAAGCCACACGGGAACUGAGACACGGUACAGACGCCUACGGGAGGCAGCAGUGGGGAAUAUUGCACAAUGGGCGCAAGCCUGAUGCAGCCAUGCCGCGUGUAUGAAGAAGGCCUUCGGGUUGUAAAGUACUUUCAGCGGGGAGGCGUUACCCGCAGAAGAAGCACCGGCUAACUCCGUGCCAGCCGCCGCGGUAAUUC